UCAAAACAAGGCUGCCAUAUGGUCGUCUUAUCUCAAGGAUUUUGGAAUUAACAGACAAGGAAAUCGGGAGAGAACCGUUUCUGGCUAUGACCACUACCACCAAUGAGAUCAACGGCGUUACUAUUAUGAAGAAUACCGGGAUUAUUCAAUGCAAUGACGGAUCGUACAAGUAUGAUGACGGGUCUUCUUCUUCAAACUUCCCUAUUCCGGAGGGUGGCAUUACAAACAAGUUCCUAUAUACCACCAUGAUGAGCCAACACCGUGAAACCACCCGCGCUAUCAAAAGCCUUCGAAACCUUGUGUUAAGUUCUCGCAACCUUCCCAUGGAAGAUGAUGAAGGUGAAGUCGGUAGUGAAGCGGAAGGCGAGGAGAAUCAGGACAGUUCGGAAGAAGAUUAAAGCAUUAUGUUUUAUCUAUGUUCUUGAAUGCUUAUCUAAUGAUCACAUAAUGUGUGUAUGCUUGUCUACUUUUCUUUUUCAUAAGUUUCUUCCUUUUUGCUAAUGCCAAAGGGGGAGAAGACUUGUUUCUCUAAUGGUUUCUUCUAUGCCAGAAUUUUGUAUGCUGCUCAUUUAGGGGGAGUUCUUAAAGCAUAGGGGGAGUCAAAUUACAAAAAACUUCACUUUCAAGCAUCUAUCUCAAGGUUGCGUUGUCAUCAUCAAAAAGGGGGAGAUGUUAUAAGAUAGAAGCAAGCUUCAAUCCAAAAAGUAUUUUGAUGAAGACAACAUGGUAUCAAAUUCAAAAAGAUAAGUAGCUUCAAAGAUAAUUCAGCAUCAAAGUAAUCAAGCCACAAUAUGCAUGAGAAACAUUUUGAUCAAGCUCUUUUUGCAAGUCAACCGUUUGCAAGAUUGUUGAUUACACUUCUAAGGUAUAUCUAAUUCACUUCUUAGAUUAGUAUACCAAGUGGUUCAACAAUCAUGGAUCAUGCAUUGCAUUUUUAACAUAAACAAUUUGUUAACAUGUUGAAAUGAAAAGACACAUUUUUCCUUAAAGUAUGUUUUCUGCAUAUAUCAACAGUGUUACCGGUUAACCCAUAUGGGUUAACCGCGUUAACGACCCAGUUUUUGAAAUUCUUUGUUAAAUUUAUAUGCGUUAAACGGUUAUCCCAUUUAGCGUUAACCGGUUAACACUUGUUCGUUUCAGUGAAAAUAAUUUCCAGAAACUACUGACCUUAUUGCAUCAUUUUUUAUGAAAAUUUAUACUCUUGAAAAGGUGUUUUGGCAAUAUAAAUUCUUUGAAUUUUUUAAAAUGGAAUUUUCACCUCAAGAAAAUUUUCAUAAAAACUUAAGAUAAUCAUCUUUCAUACUUUCUUCAUAUUUCCAAUAAAAGUGUCAUAAGUCAAAUUUUCAUCUCAUUCCAUUUUUGAACACUUUGUAUAUGAUUCAUUGAGUUGAUUAUUUAUCUAAGGAGAGAUCAAUCAGAGAAGAUUUGAUAAUACUUACUACUUGUUAAAAUCAUCAAAAGAAAUUAUUUUCUGUUUGACUUUGUGAUCCAGGAAUUGUUGGACACAAGGGUUAGUGUUGAAGAGGAUUGUUCUUCAUACACUUGUUUACCUAUAGGUUAGAUAGUAAAGCCAUCACCCAUAGUUGUGAGUAGGCUGUACCAUUAAUUCUAACUGAUAGGUGAAUCUCCUUCUGACUUCGAUAAGGGCAGAAUGUGUGGGAUUUGUUACCUUCGGAUUGUGAAGGGAACCACUAUAAUUUCCGGUGUCUUUUUACUUUCCGCAAUUUAUUUUUCCGCACUUAAAAGAAAAAUAACCAAAAACCGGAAACAAGAUCGACGAAUUUUUAACCACCUAAUUCACCCCCCCACUUAGGCGCAUUUACAACUUACACCUCUGACUAACUCGAGUUUAUUUAGCUGAGAGAUUUUUCUCAUGCUAAUUUGGGCCAAGCAUAUAUGCCAUACCAAUUGCGCUUCAUGUAUAGACAUUUAACAUUUACAUUUUGAUCUUUUAGAUCUGAAAGAUUUAUUUUGUAAAUAAUGUUUUCCCUCUUGCCAGUGAAAAGAAUUGUUCCAUUAUUCUGAUUAAUUGCUUUACAUGUUUUUUGAUUGAAGAUUAUAUCAUAACCGUUAUCAAUUAAUUGGCUUAUUGAUAACAGGUUAUGCAUUAAUCCUUCUACGUAGAGAACAUCAGAUAUAGAGGGAAGAGAUCCAUUACCAAUAUUUCCAGCGCCUCUGAUUCUUCCUUUCUGAUUGCCUUUGAACCCUACGAUGCCAGCAUCUUUAAGUUCCAGGCUUUGGAACAUAUGCUUUCUUCCCGUCAUGUGUCGCAAGCAUCCAGAGUCCAGGUACCAUGACUGGUGUCUUAACUCUGCUGCAUAGGAUAUCUGCAACAUAAACAAUCUUAUCCUUUGGUACCCAGAAUCUUUUGGGUCCUUUUAUUAGUUUUCCCAGAGAGUCUUAAGACUUUGGGUUUUCUAGCAUUAGUAAAACGUCAUGCUUGUGCAUGUGUGUAGUGAUAAGAAAAUGGGGAUUUGGGUUUGUCAUCUGUAGAGGAUUUAUCUUCACUAGGAUCAUAUCCUAUUCCUCUUUUGCUAUUCUGACUGACUCCAUAAAUCAUGGAAGCGAUUCUGCUUCUUUCUAUCCCAUUUUUCAGAAACUUUUGAAAAUAUUUUUCAUAUUUAUAUAUCAUUGUGUUGGAAGUUUGUUGGGCUUGAGAUAAAGCUUCUUCAAGUUUUAGACAUUGUUUAUUUGUGGAGUCUCUUUCUUUUGUCAGAGUUAAAUUCUCAUUCUUUAAUUCCGAAACUGCUAUCUCAAGCUCAUUACAUUCUUCGAUGGUUCCUUCAAGGACCUUUUUUAGUGCUAUAAAUUUUUGUUUAAGUUUCUGAUAUGAGUUUAAAGAUUCAGAAAGGCAUGAUUCAAGGUCAGAGCGAGAAAGGUCAGAAAAUACCUCUUCAGGACCAGUCUCUCCAUCUGAUGAAUUUCCAGAAGUGGUAGCCAUGAAUGCAACAUUUUCCAGUUCUUCUGAUUCUGAUUCAGAGGAAUCAGAUUCAGUGUCGUCCCAGGUGGCCAUGAGUCCCUUCUUGGUUUUAAAGGAGUUUUUCUUGAAACUUUUUCUUCUGGAGCAUUCUUUCUUAAGCUUUGGGCAUUCGUUUAUGUAAUGACAUGUUUCCUUACAUUCAUAGCAUGUUACCUCUUUGUUUGAUUUGCUUCUGAAAGUUGAUUCUGAGCGAUCUCCCUUGGGUCUUUGUCUUCUGAAGUUGUUAUUCCUUUUUCUCCAGAGAUGUUUUAAUCUUCUGUUCAAAAGGGAUAACUCUUCUUCAUCGUCAUAGUAUUCCUUUUCAGAGUGGUCAUUGUCUUCUUCAUCAUCUUGGAGGGCUUUGUUCCAUUCUGGUUUACGUCUCUCGGAUUUGGAUUUCAGGGCUACAGAUUUAUUCUUCUUUUGAGGCUCAUCUUCCUCAAGUUCUAUCCUGUGACUUCUGAGGGAGCUGACGAGUUCUUCAAGGCUGAAGUUGUUCAGAUCCUUUGAAAAUUUUAAUGCGGUGACCAUGGGUCUCCACUUCUUUGGUAGGCUUCUGACAAUCUUUUUGACAUGAUCUACAGUUGUGUACCUUUUGUCCAGAACCUUGAGUUCUGCAAUUAAGGUUUGAAAUCUAGAAAACAUUACCUCUAUAGCUUCAUCGUCCUCCAUCUUGAAGGAUUCAUACUUAUAAAUUAGAGCCAGAGCUUUUGUUUUUUUGACUUGUGAAUUUCCUUCAUGAGUCAUCCUCAGAGAGUCAAGUAUUUCUUUAGCAGUUUCUCUGUUGGUGAUCUUUUCAUACUCAUUGUAGGAGAUGGCAUUCAACAGUAUCGUUCUGGCUUUGUGAUGGUUCUUGGAGUCCCGCUUCUGAUCAUCUGUCAUCUUGUUUCUGGAAAUAGGAAUACCAACAUCAAAUACAGGAGGUGUAUAGCCAAUAGUACCUAUGUCCCAUAGAUCAGUAUCAUAACCCAGAAAGAAACUUUUGAUUCUCUCUUUCCAGUAAUUAAUUUUUUCUCCAUCAAAGAUUGGGGGUUUAGCAUUGUAACUAUCUCUUUCAUUGGUGUUGGCCAUAGUCUUUUUGUCACGCUGGAUCUCUCUACACUAUUAAGUGUUUUGAUUAGAAAAUCAAUAACAGAGCCGAAGCUCUGAUACCAAUUGUAGGUAGAGAAAAACAAGAAAGGGGGGGGGGUGUUGAAUUGUUUUAACGAUAAUCAUUUUUUUUGGAAAAGAGACACACGCUGAACCAAAAAUAUCAACAUUGAAUUUUAUACUGGUUCGCUUGAAAUUCAAAGCUACUCUAGUCCACCCGGCCAAGGUGAUUUCGCCUUUAAAAAGGACUUUAUCCACUAAUCUUCAAAGAUUACAUAAACGAUCGUCUAAGAGAAUAAGGAUCUCUUAGCCCUCUCAAGUAUAUAGAAUUCACAAGUCACUUGAGAAGAGUUUCUGCUUGCGUAUCUUCUGAGUGAUAUCUCAGAACUUCUACCUGUAUCUGAUGGAUGUCUAUCUGAUUAUUUUGAUUAGAGUCUUACACACUUAGAUAAAUUUAUUUAGGGUACUGUAAGACCCUAAUUUUGACCCUAAGAUCCCUCAUGGCAUCAUAUCAUUACUCAUUGCAUUGCCUCAAAGAUCAUAGCAUGUGUGGCUCCUUUACCCUAGGGGUGGGACUUGUGUGAGUUGGUUUGAGACCACCAAGCAUGCUUGAAUUGUAUAUUAUUUCUUUUCUUAUUUUGAUUACUAACCAAAAGCACAAAAAUAUGUCACUAACUCUUUUUGUUUUGAAGCUUAAGUGAUCAUGUGCUCACAAUACUCCUAGGAAAUUCCUAAGCUCAAUGAAGUGGCUAGAUGAAGAUGAGAAAAAGAAUGACAAGGGUCCACAAAGCUCCUAAUCAUCAUAUAUGUCUCCCAAGUAUCUGAAUUUGCCAAUUUGAUCAAGAUAACCCAAAGGGCUUGAGGAUUGUUUCCCAAGGAAACCCUAAUUUCACUGUGCAUUGACUGUGUCUUGCUCAUGAAGCAACCUCAACCUAUGAUCAAAUUAAAUCAAGGUAAGUUAUUUCAUUAAUUAUUUGAUGCAUAUACGAGCGUAUGUUAGUAUCCUAAAUCAUUCAUUCUAAGCCGUGUGAUUAUGCCACAUCAAUUAAUGAGACGGAUCCAGUGGGCGCUGAUUUUUGCUAUUUUUUUAUUUUCUGAUUAAUUCCAUUUAAUUCCUUUUAUUUUCAAAAAUUCAUAAAUAUUUUAUUUGAAGUCACAAAAAUAUGAGACCAAUGGCAAAAGUUUUCUUGAAAAAUUUAGUUUCAUAUUUUGAUUUUUAAUUAUUUUUGUGACUUCACUUAAUAUUUUUUGUGAAUUAUUUGGUUUUUAAUAGUUUUUAAUUCAUUUUAAAUACUUUUUGAUAUCUGAAAAUUCCAAAAAUAUUUUUCUUAACACAUAUGGAUCAUGAUGAGUCAAUGAAAAUAGUCUCAUCAAUUUUUUAAAUGAUUUGAGAUUUAUUUGAGAUUUUAAUUCAUAUUGUGUUAUUUUUUUUGUUUUUAAUUGUUUUAAAAUAGUUUCUAAUUUUAAAAAUUGUUGAAAAAAUUUGUCAAACGUUUUUUGACCAUGUUAGACCUAUGAGAAUUUAAUUUGACUUGUUUAAGUUGAUUUGAAUGGAAUUUGAGGUUUGACCAUAUUUUGUCCAUUUCUAUUUUUGCAUUUAUUUUAAUUCCAAAAAAAUACCAAAAAAUAUGUUUGAUUUGUUGACUUCUAAUCUUCAUUCCUCUUCUAUUUUACAUUGGUUGAUGAUGAUUUGAUUCACUUUUGACCAAUUGUGUUUGACAUUUGAAUUCUCCUUUUAUCCAUUUCAUCUCCAUCUCAUUUUCUUUUUAUUUUGGCCAAUGAGUUAAUGUCUUAUGGUUGGUCUUGACAUAUGAGAGGCUUACCCUUCUUUGAUCCAAAUCAAACUCAACUUGAUCCAAGAUCAAGUGAGUUGCUUUGUGUCCAAGAUGGUUGCUUCUUGGUCAAGCAAAAAACCUAAAGUCCAUACAAGACCUUUCCUCUUUUCUUUUGGCAUGGCAAGUUUUUGGAGCUUGGCUUACUAGUCAUGAUCUGUAACUUGUGUUUAGUUGCCUAUAGUUUUAUUGACCGGCCUCAGAUAGGUGUGACUACUACAUUAGUCCACUUACGAUUGCUUAACAUAGCGCGAAAUUAUCUUAUGACACACUAAUAUAACCACUAAUUACUAACUUUAAUUUGAGCAUUUAAUUUUUUGCAAUUUACUUUAAUGCAAUGUACUUUCUUGCUCAUUUAUUCAUAUUGCCUUUUCAUUUUGCUCACUUGAGCACAUAUUUAAUGUUUAUGCCAUUUUCCUUUUUCUCAUUUGAGCUCAUUAUUGUAUAUAAAUAUAUUGUUGCUUUAUGGUUGUUUGUUUUUGUUUGUGUGUACCCAAUGCAAAAAGGAGAAAGGACUUAGAAUUAGGACCUUACCUAUGCUUAAAGGAGUUCAAGAGCAACCAGACCUCAUGCCUUUAGAAUGCUAAAUCUUGAAGUUGACUUCCAAGGACCCCUAAUCUAAACUAAUUCUUUGUCUAUUCCUCUUAUUGUGUUGUGAACUUUUUGAAGUUUUCUCUUGUGUGAUAGGGAUUCCAUCUGGAGAUAGUAAGAAGGACCAUUGUCAUAAGUAGCCAAGUUAGGAGAGACAAGCCAAAUGGAGAUCCUAGGAGCUUGAAUCCAAAUUUGUGUGAUUGCUUGUUGUUUGCUAAGUCCAAAGGAAAGGAGCAUCUUGAAUCAUCUCUAUGAUCUCAAGAAAAGGCACUCCAAGGGUUUUAUCUUCUCUCUUAUCUUUGUUUGCUUUAGGACUAGCCCUUCUCUUCUUCUCCUGACUCUAACCCAAGCCAAACUCUUUUUGUGCAAACUUUGACAUUAUUUUCAAAUUAGAAACCUAGGCCUUAUGCCUUUGACUUUUCAAAAUCUUUUCAUUAAUACUCAUUGUGAAUGAAUCUUGAUCCAACUUUGACUUCAAACCUAGGCCUUAUGCCUUUGACUUUUCAAAAUCUUUUCAUUAAUACUCAUUGUGAAUGAAUCUUGAUCCAACUUUGACUUCAUUUUGUAAAUAAACCUAACUUGUAAAUACAACUCACUUCAAGUUUUCUUUUGUGGUUCCAAUGGCUACCUUUGUUAAAACUUUUCAUAAACAUUAGCCAUAAGUUUGAGUUAUCAUAGUGGUUGAUGUAAACCUGACCUUAUCCUUAAUGAUUGGACUAUAAGUCUUCCAUACUUAUUAUAGGGUUAAUCCCUCACUAGUAUGUUGAUGCUCUCCUCACAUGGUGGAUUGUUGGUUUAGGUUGAGUUUUCUCCCUUUGAUAACAAAUGACCUUAAGGCUUUUGAUCAAAUCAAUUCACCAAUCUGUUGAGAUUUUUACCCCGAACUACGAGGUUUUGAUCCUACCUUUGUGAUGGUACGUAGGCAAUGGUUUCAUCCAUUCAAACAACAAAAUUGUAAAUAAUUUGUAUAUUCUCUUCUCAUCCCCUCAAUCUUUUGCACAUAUUUUCACAAAUACCAACCUACAACACACAUUUGCAAAAAGGGCUCCCUUAGAGUACUAAGGAUUUUUUGGGUGCUUAAAACCGUCCCAUUUCAUACCCAACCCCGUUACCUAGACCUCUGACAUUUUUAUUAGUUUUUGACUUGAUAAAACUUCUUACUUGGCUUUUGAUCGCUUUUUAGCCUUUCCUUUAGACAAAUAAUAGUGCGGUGGUGACUCGAAUUGUAUGUAUACUUUUGGUUUAGUCAAUUAACCAUAAGGUAACGAAUACCCCACUAUAGAAAAAUGGCGACUCUGCUGGGGAUGAUCUUCCUAGUGGGUUUAGCCUACUUUUUGCUUAUGUGUGUUGUAUGAUUAUAUUUAUUGGUGACAUAUCUUGUUGCAAAUUUGGGAUGACUGUAUUGUUUGUAAUGUAUGAUUUUCUUGAUAUAUCAAUUGCUUGUAUGCUUGGUGGUUUCUUGUGAGAUGAGUUCUAUACCCGAACUCGAGUGCACUUAUGAUAGGAGAAUGGCAUAGUCUUGUUAACUUAUGUGGAGUUAUUUCUUAGCAAGUUGACUUGCAAGCCCAUUCACUUGGUGGAGGUCUUGUUGGGAUCAAUAAUGUCACACGAGUAGUCGUGGUUAGGCAUUACUCUUUCCAAUAUAAACCUUAGAAGCACUUGCAAGCCCAUUCACUUGGUGGAGGUCUUGUUGGGAUCAAUAAUGUCACACGAGUAGUCGUGGUUAGGCAUUACUCUUUCCAAUAUAAACCUUAGAAGCCAAGGACCUUAGAUACCUAACCCAUCAUGGCCUAUUUUAGGACGUAGUGCGGAGGUCGUUCAAGUGUGAGAUUUGAUACGAUUGUUACGCGAUACUACACUCAUAAGAGUCUCUCUUAAGAAUAUUUUUGGAAUACGAGUAGUCGUUUAUCCGAUAAUAUCCGAAUGAUGAGAUGAUGACUAUGGGGACCUUUUCUGCACAUGAUUGUCAGGUUUAACCAUGGUACACUCCCCUUGGGUGGUUCUUAACCGAGACUCCAUACUCGUGACUUAUAACAAACCCUUGAUUCGCAGUUGAUCCGUUCUCGUAUAUCCUUAAUAUCAAUGGAACUUGGAUGUUGAUAAGGUGUAAACCAUAAUCCACCAAAAUGGAUGAUUGAUAUUGAUGAUAACGUGAGUUAUCCCGUGACCUUUGUGUGGUGUGACUUGCUUGAUCCUUGAGUGUGAUUGUUGCAUCCAUGCAUUCAUGCAUUCAUACGCAUCCAUAUCAUCAACAAUGAAAAAUUUCAAGGAACUUAAGAGGUCUAUUUGCAAAAUUUCAGACAUGGACGAGCAAAGAAGGAAUACGAAGAAGUACAGUUUCAGACAACCCGACUUGAAAGAGUUAAGGAAUUUGACAUCUUAUGUAUUAGAGCCUUUUUAGUUCAAAGCGCGCCAUGGGAAGCUUCUGUCUAUUCUUUCUACCAAGGUGGAUGAAGGUCUGAUGUGUGUGUUGGUGCAGUUCUACGAUCCUCUGUAUCGGUGCUUCACUUUUCCGAAUUUCUAGCUUUUGCCUACACUUGAGGAGUAUGCCUAUCAUAUGGGUAUACCUAUUCUGGA
rnacentral:lncRNA from 1 species